UACGGAGGAUCCAAGCGUUAUCCGGAUUUAUUGGGUUUAAAGGGUGCGUAGGCGGCUUAUUAAGUCAGGGGUGAAAGACGGUGGCUCAACCAUCGCAGUGCCUUUGAUACUGAUGAGCUUGAAUGAACUAGAGGUAGGCGGAAUGUGACAAGUAGCGGUGAAAUGCAUAGAUAUGUCACAGAACACCGAUUGCGAAGGCAGCUUACUAUGGUGUCAUUGACGCUGAGGCACGAAAGCGUGGGGAUCAAACAGG
rnacentral:rRNA from 1 species